GGCGGCGCGCUGUUCGAAACCAAGCUUCGGCGGUAAGAGCCAACGGUGAAGAAGAAAGCAGCGAAGAACAUGGACCGCGCCUGCAAGUGUGGAGAUCCCAAAUGCAUUUGCACGACACAGUGCAAAUGCUCAACGGGAGGAUGCCCUUGUGACAAGUGCAAGAAAUAGAAUGCUCAUAUAUCAAGAAGGCUGCAACACUACAUCCAAUAAAACCAGAAUUACUCAUCAGGCUGUUGCAUGGAUCCCCGAAAAUAUUGACAAUUCAAACAGGAGGAAAUUCCGAAAACAAGAGGACUUGCGCGGGGGCCUUGGAAUUAGGCACCAUGAAAGUAUUUCAACUAUAGCAACCAAUGACUGAACGGACAUUCAAUAAAUUAUUAUAAAUAUA